rnacentral:rRNA from 1 species
GACGAACGCUGGCGGCGUGCUUAACACAUGCAAGUCGAGCGGUAAGGCCCUUUCGGGGGUACACGAGCGGCGAACGGGUGAGUAACACGUGGGUGACCUGCCCUCAGCUCUGGGAUAAGCCUGGGAAACCGGGUCUAAUACCGGAUAUGACUCCAUGACGCAUGUUGUGGGGUGGAAAGCCUUGUGCGGCUGAGGAUGGGCCCGCGGCCUAUCAGCUUGUUGGUGGGGUGAUGGCCUACCAAGGCGACGACGGGUAGCCGGCCUGAGAGGGCGACCGGCACACUGGGACUGAGACACGGCCCAGACUCCUACGGGAGGCAGCAGUGGGGAAUCUUGCGCAAGUGGGCGAAAGCCUGACGCAGCGACGCCGCGUGA